UUUAACUUUUUUUAAUUUUCAAUUAAUUAUAGAUUUUUUUAUGUAUAGUGGAUAGAUAGUUUGUAUUUUAUAUGUUGUGAAACAUUUACGUGAAUUUUAUUUUUUAUUAAGGGUAUAUUUCUUUCCUUUUUGCAUGACGGCUUUACAAGUUAAAUAGUUUUUUAUAAACUUUACUCGAAACAAAGCGAGAUAUAUUUUUUUAGUUUACCUUAGUUCAAAAAGUUAAUAUUAAAAUAAUAUAGAGAUUAAAUGUUUAACAAGCUUUGUGAUAACUAGUUUAAACCUAAAGCUACAGCUAAUUAUUGCUUUUUUAAUUGGUUUAUAGGGGUCAGCUCUUUAAACAGAAUAAAAUAUGUAUUAUUUUUUUUUUAUAGAUUAUUAAAAUAAAAUUUAAAGUGUUUUUGUGUGUAAACUUUUUUUUUUUUCUUCUUUCUUAGUUGAUGAGUAGUACUUUUUUAGGUUUAUUUUUAUUUUGGUAUAGAUAAGUAAUUUUUUUAUUUUUAUAUUUUUAUUUAAUAUUUUUUUUAAUUUGUGUAAAUGUAACAAAAUAAAAUAACUCAAAUAUAAACUAUAUAUAUUUACUAAAUGUUUACUUUAAUGAUUCUUAUAUUAAAGUUUUUGCUUAGAUUACUGAUUUUUUUAGUUUUCGUAUAUAUUUUUCUUAAUUAGAAAUUCAUAUAUUUUAGCUUAUAUAAUUUAUAUCUGUUUUUAUUUUUUAAAAUGAACUUUUUUGAUGUGUAAAAUAAACACAUAUGGUAUAAAAGGACGAAAAGACCCUAGGUAAUUUAGGUUAAUAAAUUUAGUAUUAUAAUUUAAAAACUUUACUGGGGUGGUAGGUAAUUAAAAUUUAACAUUUUACCUUAGUAAUUUCUAUUUUUUUUAGUUUUUUAUUUAAGAUCCUUUUUUAAAAGAUUAUCAGUAAAUUAACCCUAGGGAUAACAGCGCAAUGUAUAAGGAAAGUUCAUAUUGAUUUAUAUAUUUACGACCUCGAUGUCGGCUUAAUUACAUUAAAAGAUGCAGUUAUUUUUUUUUUUAAGAUUGUUCCUCUUUUUAUAAAUUACAUGAGCUGGGUUUAGAGCGGAGUGAUCUAGUUCGGUUUUUAUCCUUUGUAUUAUUUUCUAAUUAGUACGAAAGGAACAUUAGUUUUAUUUUUUUAUU
rnacentral:rRNA from 1 species